rnacentral:tRNA from 1 species
GAGCCCAUAGCUCAGCCUGGUUAGAGCGCUGGUCUUAUAAGCCAGAGUGCCGGGGUUCGAAUCCCCGUGGGCUCA